CAGUAGCCGCGGUAAUACGUAGGUGGCAAGCGUUGUCCGGAAUUAUUGGGCGUGAAGGGCUCGCAGGCGGUUUCUUAAGUCUGAUGUGAAAGCCCCCGGCUCAACCGGGGAGGGUCAUUGGAAACUGGGAAACUUGAGUGCAGAAGAGGAGAGUGGAAUUCCACGUGUAGCGGUGAAAUGCGUAGAGAUGUGGAGGAACACCAGUGGCGAAGGCGACUCUCUGGUCUGUAACUGACGCUGAGGAGCGAAAGCGUGGGGAGCGAACAGGAUUAGAUACCCCAGUAGUCCCUGUCUCUUAUAA
rnacentral:rRNA from 1 species